rnacentral:rRNA from 1 species
UAGAAUAGGAUUUUCCCUUCGGGGACUGCCGGUUCAGGUGCUGCAUGGCUGUCGUCAGCUCGUGCCGUGAGGUGUUGGGUUAAGUCCCGCAACGAGCGCAACCCUCGUCCUUAGUUGCCACCAUUCAGUUGGGCACUCUAGGGAGACUGCCGGCGUUAAGCCGGAGGAAGGUGGGGACGACGUCAAGUCAUCAUGGCCCUUAUGUCCAGGGCCACACACGUGCUACAAUGGGCGGUACAAAGGGUUGCAAACCCGCGAGGGGGAGCUAAUCCCAAAAAGCCGCUCUCAGUUCGGAUUGGAGUCUGCAACUCGACUCCAUGAAGUUGGAAUCGCUAGUAAUCGCGGAUCAGCACGCCGCGGUGAAUACGUUCCCGGGCCUUGUACACACCGCCCGUCACACCAUGGAAGCCAGCUGUACCGGAAGUCGGUGCGCCAACCCGCAAGGGAGGUAGCCGCCUAUGGUAUGACUGGUGACUGGGGUGAAGUCGUAACAAGGUAGCCGU